rnacentral:rRNA from 1 species
AUUGAACGCUGGCGGCGUGCCUAACACAUGCAAGUCGAGCGGUAACAGGUGUAGCAAUACAUGCUGACGAGCGGCGAACGGGUGAGUAAUGCUUCGGAAUCUACCUUAUGGCGGGGAAUAACUAGCCGAAAGGUUAGCUAAUACCGCAUACGUCCUACGGGAGAAAGCAGGGGGUCGCAAGACCUUGCGCCAAAAGAUGGGGCGAAGUCGGAUUAGCUAGUUGGUAGGGUAACGGCCUACCAAGGCGACGAUCCGUAGCUGGUCUGAGAGGACGACCAGCCACACUGGGACUGAGACACGGCCCAGACUCCUACGGGAGGCAGCAGUGGGGAAUAUUGGACAAUGGGGGAAACCCUGAUCCAGCGACGCCGCGUGUGUGAAGAAGGCCUGCGGGUUGUAAAGCACUUUUAGUGGGGAUGAAAUGUGCAGGGUUAAUACCUCUGCAUUUUGACCUAACCCACAGAAAAAGCACCGGCUAACUACGUGCCAGCCGCCGCCGUAA